rnacentral:rRNA from 1 species
AUACGUAGGGAGCGAGCGUUGUCCGGAAUUACUGGGCGUAAAGGGUGCGUAGGUGGCCAUGUAAGUUAGGUGUGAAAGACCGGGGCUUAACCCCGGGGCGGCACUUAAAACUGUGUGGCUUGAGUACAGGAGAGGGAAGUGGAAUUCCUAGUGUAGCGGUGAAAUGCGUAGAUAUUAGGAGGAACACCAGUGGCGAAGGCGACUUUCGGGACUGUAACUGACACUGAGGCACGAAAGCGUGGGGAGCAAACAGGAUUAGAUACCCUGGUAGUCCACGCCGUAAACGAUGGAUACUAGGUGUGGGGCCCGAUAGGGAUCCGUGCCGGAGCAAACGCAUUAAGUAUCCCGCCUGGGGAGUACGAUCGCAAGGUUGAAACUCAAAUGAAUUGACGGGG